rnacentral:rRNA from 1 species
CAGCCGCCACGGGAAUACGUAGGUGGCAAGCGUUGUCCGGAAUUAUUGGGCGUAAAGGGCUCGCAGGCGGUUUCUUAAGUCUGAUGUGAAAGCCCCCGGCUCAACCGGGGAGGGUCAUUGGAAACUGGGAAACUUGAGUGCAGAAGAGGAGAGUGGAAUUCCACGUGUAGCGGUGAAAUGCGUAGAGAUGUGGAGGAACACCAGUGGCGAAGGCGACUCUCUGGUCUGUAACUGACACUGAGAGACGAAAGCUAGGGGAGCAAAUGGGAUUAGAUACCCCCGUAGUCCCUGUCUCUUAUAU